CCUACGGGGGGCAGCAGUGGGGGAUAUUGCACAAUGGGGGAAACCCUGAUGCAGCGACGCCGCGUGAGUGAAGAAGUAUUUCGGUACGUAAAGCUCUAUCAGCAGGGAAGAAAAAUGACGGUACCUGACUAAGAAGCCCCGGCUAACUACGUGCCAGCAGCCGCGGUAUUACGUAGAGGGCAAGCGUUAUCCGGAUUUACUGGGUGUAUAGGGAGCGUAGACGGCUGUGAAAGUCUGAAGUGAAAUGCCGAGGCCCAACCCCGGAACUGCUUUGGAAACAGUACAGCUAGAGU
rnacentral:rRNA from 1 species